rnacentral:rRNA from 1 species
UACGGAGGAUGCGAGCGUUAUCCGGAUUUAUUGGGUUUAAAGGGUGCGUAGGCGGAUUUUUAAGUCAGCGGUAAAAUGUCCGAGCUCAACUCGGGAACUGCCUCUAAUACUGUUGAUCUAGAGAGUAGAUGCGGUAGGCGGAAUGUAUGGUGUAGCGGUGAAAUGCUUAGAGAUCAUACAGAACACCGAUUGCGAAGGCAGCUUACCAAUCUAUAUCUGACGUUGAGGCACGAAAGCGUGGGGAGCAAACAGG